rnacentral:lncRNA from 1 species
CCCUCACCCAACACACAUAUACCCAGCUCCUCUUUCUCUCUCCUGGACUUUCUCUUGUCCCUCCAAGCUCCUCCUCUACUUUCCAUCCAGCACUUCCAGUGGGGACCCAGGGAGAGAAGGCUGACUAACUGGUUUGGCCAGCUAUCAGCAGGCAGAGAGGAAAUCUGGCUAAGGAUGCUGCUUGUGCCUGUUUCUGCAGGACUCAGGUGAAACCAUUCUGGAAAUCCCCUUCUGCAUGCUUCUGAGCAUUCUGGUGACUGUGAGACAACAUAAUACUGUGUUUGAAAGAUGAGAGGCUUUCUUCCCUUCCUCGUGGCUUUCAGCACUAGAGAUUUCCUGCCAUGCAUGCUGAGACAGCUGAGACACAAACCCACGCUCACCCUCCCCAUGCUGCCUUUCGAUACUUCUGUUGGAUUUACAGCUGAAUGAAGCGUCUGUGUGCAGACUGUGAUGUGGGAGGGGAAGGAGAUGCCUUAAGAAGUGUCUUCAAUGCUGGAACCAGCUCCCUUCCUUCUUUGCCCGGAUGGACACAAAAGUCUCGCACCUGGUCUUCCUGUUUGGACCCUCUCCCAGCC